GUCAACUUACUCUGAUGUGAAGCUCAUACCAGUGUGAUCAUUGCUGUUUUUUUUAAAGUACAUGAAAAUAAAUGAACCAGCUUUGCAUAGAUGUAAAUGUUGAUAACUGCCACCAUCUCCUUUCAGACACUUUACAUACAAUUUGGACAAGAGCUCAAUCAAAUUUUAUGGAGUACUCUAAGCUGUAUAAAAAGGGUACCCUUUUCCACUCUUGCCAACUUCCAACAUCUCCCAGAAGAAGGAAGGAUCUUUGCAGAAACACUUCACAGAUUUUCUUCAAAGUGAUACUCAACCUCUUCUAAGUGGUUCUUCGUGUCUUUUCAAAAUGAAGGCGCUAUUCCUAUCGGUUGUCAUAUUUCAGCUCUUGAUUAUAAUUCUACCAAAGCCAG